ACGAGUGGCGCACGGGUGCGUAACGCGUAUGCAAUCUGCCUUUAACUGGGGCAUAGCCCGGAGAAAUUCGGAUUAAUACCCCAUAAUAUCUAAAUAUCGCAUGGUAUUUAAAUUAAAGCAUUGUGGUUGAAGAUGGGCAUGCGCGACAUUAGCUAGUUGGUAAGGUAAUGGCUUACCAAGGCUACGAUGUCUAGGGGGUCUGAGAGGAUGUCCCCCCACACUGGUACUGAGACACGGACCAGACUCCUACGGGAGGCAGCAG
rnacentral:rRNA from 1 species